rnacentral:rRNA from 1 species
UACGUAGGGUGCAAGCGUUAAUCGGAAUUACUGGGCGUAAAGCGUGCGCAGGCGGUUGUGCAAGACCGAUGUGAAAAUCCCCCGGGCUUAACCUGGGGAACUGCAUUGGUGACUGGCAGGCUUUGAGUGUAGCAGAGGGGAGGUAGAAUUCCACGUGUAGCAGUGAAAUGCGUAGAGAUGUGGAGGAAUACCGAUGGCGAAGGCAGCCUCCUGGGCCAACACUGACGCUCAUGCACGAAAGCGUGGGGAGCAAACAGG